rnacentral:rRNA from 1 species
UGGAUCCAGACUUUGAUCCUGGCUCAGGACGAACGCUGGCGGCGCGCCUAACACAUGCAAGUCGAACGAGAGAGAGGGAGCUUGCUUCCUCAAUCGAGUGGCGAACGGGUGAGUAACGCGUGAGGAACCUGCCUCAAAGAGGGGGACAACAGUUGGAAACGACUGCUAAUACCGCAUAAGCCCACGGCUCGGCAUCGAGCAGAGGGAAAAGGAGUGAUCCGCUUUGAGAUGGCCUCGCGUCCGAUUAGCUGGUUGGUGAGGUAACGGCCCACCAAGGCGACGAUCGGUAGCCGGACUGAGAGGUUGAACGGCCACAUUGGGACUGAGACACGGCCCAGACUCCUACGGGAGGCAGCAGUGGGGAAUAUUGCACAAUGGGGGAAACCCUGAUGCAGCGACGCCGCGUGGAGGAAGAAGGUCUUCGGAUUGUAAACUCCUGUUGUUGAGGAAGAUAAUGACGGUACUCAACAAGGAAGUGACGGCUAACUACGUGCCAGCAGCCGCGGUAAAACGUAGGUCACAAGCGUUGUCCGGAAUUACUGGGUGUAAAGGGAGCGCAGGCGGGAGAACAAGUUGGAAGUGAAAUCCAUGGGCUCAACCCAUGAACUGCUUUCAAAACUGUUUUUCUUGAGUAGUGCAGAGGUAGGCGGAAUUCCCGGUGUAGCGGUGGAAUGCGUAGAUAUCGGGAGGAACACCAGUGGCGAAGGCGGCCUACUGGGCACCAACUGACGCUGAGGCUCGAAAGUGUGGGUAGCAAACAGGAUUAGAUACCCUGGUAGUCCACACCGUAAACGAUGAUUACUAGGUGUUGGAGGAUUGACCCCUUCAGUGCCGCAGUUAACACAAUAAGUAAUCCACCUGGGGAGUACGACCGCAAGGUUGCAACUCAAAUGAAUUGACGGA